rnacentral:rRNA from 1 species
UGGAAACAGAUGCUAAUACCGGAUAACAACAGAUGAUGCCUAUCAACUGUUUAAAAGAUGGUUCUGCUAUCACUCUUGGAUGGACCUGCGGUGCAUUAGCUAGUUGGUAGGGUAACGGCCUACCAAGGCGAUGAUGCAUAGCCGAGUUGAGAGACUGAUCGGCCACAUUGGGACUGAGACACGGCCCAAACUCCUACGGGAGGCAGCAGUU